AGGAAAGCGGCGGCGGUGGCGGCUUCAACAGCAGCUCUUGCCCUUAAGGAACAAUCCACAGCAUGUUCCGAAGAGAUGAUUGGAAGAUGGAAGUGGAGGGUUAAAUAAUGAAAUGCAGCUAACAUUUCGGAAAGUUUCUAAAAGUUGUACAACAUGCCCUACAGCUACUCUUUAAAUCUCCAAAUCAAAUGAGUUUCAGGUGGAGCCUCUGGGAGGUGAUGAGGUCAUGAGAGUGGAGCCUCAUGAAUGGGAUGAGCACUCCUACAAAAAGGAUUCCAGAGAGCUCGCUUGCUCCUUCCACAGUGUGAGGACACAGAGGGAAGGCUCUGUCUAUGAAUGAGAAAGUGGGUCCCCACCAGACAUUGAAUCUGCCGCAUCUUGAUACUGGACUUCCAGUCUCCAGAACUGUGGGCAAUAAAUGUCUGUUGUUUAUUACCUGUCCAGUAUCUUUGGUAUUUUGCUAUAGCAACCCAAAUGGACUAAGAAAACACCAGAGGCCAUACCUAAUAAAAAUAUUGACAUCACAAU
rnacentral:lncRNA from 1 species